rnacentral:rRNA from 1 species
ACACAUGCAAGUCGAGGGGCAGCGGGAUUGAAGCUUGCUUCAAUUGCCGGCGACCGGCGCACGGGUGAGUAACGCGUAUCCAACCUUCCGUACACUCAGGGAUAGCCUUUCGAAAGAAAGAUUAAUACCUGAUGGUAUCUUAAGCACACAUGUAAUUAAGAUUAAAGAUUUAUCGGUGUACGAUGGGGAUGCGUUCCAUUAGGUAGUAGGCGGGGUAACGGCCCACCUAGCCUACGAUGGAUAGGGGUUCUGAGAGGAAGGUCCCCCACAUUGGAACUGAGACACGGUCCAAACUCCUACGGGAGGCAGCAGUGAGGAAUAUUGGUCAAUGGACGAGAGUCUGAACCAGCCAAGUAGCGUGAAGGAUGAAGGUCCUACGGAUUGUAAACUUCUUUUAUAAGGGAAUAAACCCUCCCACGUGUGGGAGCUUGUAUGUACCUUAUGAAUAAGCAUCGGCUAACUCCGUGCCAGCAGCCGCGGUAAUACGGAGGAUGCGAGCGUUAUCCGGAUUUAUUGGGUUUAAAGGGAGCGCAGACGGGUCGUUAAGUCAGCUGUGAAAGUUUGGGGCUCAACCUUAAAAUUGCAGUUGAUACUGGCGUCCUUGAGUGCGGUUGAGGUGUGCGGAAUUCGUGGUGUAGCGGUGAAAUGCUUAGAUAUCACGAAGAACUCCGAUUGCGAAGGCAGCACACUAAGCCGUAACUGACGUUCAUGCUCGAAAGUGUGGG